AGGGUUUGAUCCUGGCUCAGGAUGAACGCUGGCGGCGUGCUUAACACAUGCAAGUCGAACGAACCUUCGGGUUAGUGGCGGACGGGUGAGUAACGCGUGAGAAUCUGCCCUCAGGAGGGGGAUAACGGUUGGAAACGACCGCUAAUACCCCAUAUGCCUAUUGGUGAAAUGAAUUUCGCCUGAGGAUGAGCUCGCGUCUGAUUAGCUAGUUGGUGAGGUAAUGGCUCACCAAGGCUUCGAUCAGUAGCUGGUCUGAGAGGAUGAUCAGCCACACUGGGACUGAGACACGGCCCAGACUCCUACGGGAGGCAGCAGUGGGGAAUUUUCCGCAAUGGGCGAAACCCUGAUGCAGCGAUGCCGCGUGAGUGAAGAAGGCCUUUGGGUUGUAAAGCUCUUUCGUCGGGGAAGAAAAUGACUGUACCCGAAUAAGAAGGUCCGGCUAACUUCGUGCCAGCAGCCGCGGUAAUACGAAGGGACCUAGCGUAGUUCGGAAUUACUGGGCUUAAAGAGUUCGUAGGUUGUUAAAAAAGUUGGUGGUGAAAUCCCAGAGCUUAACUCUGGAACUGCCAUCAAAACUUUUUAGCUAGAGUUUGAUAGAGGAAAGCAGAAUUUCUAGUGUAGAGGUGAAAUUCGUAGAUAUUAGAAAGAAUACCAAUUGCGAAGGCAGCUUUCUGGAUCAUUACUGACACUGAGGAACGAAAGCAUGGGUAGCGAAGAGGAUUAGAUACCCUCGUAGUCCAUGCCGUAAACGAUGUGUGUUAGACGUUGGAAAUUUAUUUUCAGUGUCGCAGCGAAAGCAAUAAACACACCGCCUGGGGAGUACGACCGCAAGGUUAAAACUCAAAUGAAUUGACGGGGACCCGCACAAGUAGUGGAGCAUGUGGUUUAAUUCGAAGAUACGCGCAGAACCUUACCAACACUUGACAUGUUCGUCGCGACUUUAAGAGAUUAAAGUUUUCGGUUCGGCCGGACGAAACACAGGUGCUGCAUGGCUGUCGUCAGCUCGUGUCGUGAGAUGUUGGGUUAAGUCCCGCAACGAGCGCAACCCUCACUUUUAGUUGCCAUCAUUUAGUUGGGCACUCUGAAAGAACUGCCAGUGAUAAGCUGGAGGAAGGUGGGGAUGACGUCAAGUCCUCAUGGCCCUUACGUGUUGGGCUACACACGUGCUACAAUGGCAUUUACAAUAGGAAGCAAGAUGGCGACGUCAAGCAAAUCCUAAAAAGAUGCCUCAGUUCGGAUUGUACUCUGCAACUCGAGUACAUGAAGCUGGAAUUACUAGUAAUCGCGGAUCAGCGCGCCGCGGUGAAUACGUUCCCGGGUCUUGUACACACCGCCCGUCACACCAUGGGAGUUGGUUCUACCUUAAGGCAAGGUUUUAAACCCUUGACCACGGUAUAGUCAGCGACUGGGGUGAAGUCGUAACAAGGUAGCCGUA
rnacentral:rRNA from 1 species